rnacentral:rRNA from 1 species
AUUGAACGCUGGCGGCAGGCCUAACACAUGCAAGUCGAACGAGCGGCGGACGGGUGAGUAAUGUAUGGGGACUGCCCGAUAGCGGGGGAUAACUACGGGAAACGGUAGCUAAUAACGCAUACUAUCGGAUAACCCAUAUGGGAUUAGCUAGUAGGUGAGGUAAUGGCUCACCUAGGCGACGAUCCCCAGCUGCUCUGGGAGGAUGAUCGGCCACACUGGGACUGAGACACGGCCCGAACUCCUACGGAGGCAGCAGUGGGGAAUAUUGCACAAUGAGCGCAAGCCUGAUGCAGCAAGGCCGCGUGUAUGAAGAAGGCCCUAGGGUUGUAAGGUACUUUCAGUGGGGAGGCGUUACCGACAGAAGAAGCACCGGCUAACUCCGUGCCAGCAGCCGCGGUAAUAC